CCACAGCCACAGCCACAGCCACAGCCAAAGCUAAAGCUAAAGCCAUGCCACGGAGGUUGAAUGCCGCAACUUCCACUCGAGCCAGCCAGCAGUAUCAAUAUUGCCUAUGGUUCGCCGUUGAUUGUUCGUGACAUGACAUCCAAUUGUUAAAUGACGGGUAUAAAAACCCAAGGCAUUAAUUUCAAUGGACAUUCAAUUGUGUGCACUAGUAUAAGGCGAAACGCUGUCCGACUAAUAAAAUAUAAUCCCUGAAGUAAUUUGUAUUUAUAUUUCUCCCUUCUGUUUUACUCAGAAGUGGGAUAUGAACAGUAAUCGCCCUAAGGAAACUGGCAAUGGCGUUCGUCCGCCUGGCUAGAGGGAGCAAGAACAAUACAAUACCAGCGAAAAUGAAGAUUAUCCGCAACCAAAAGCAAAAGAAUUGGUCAAAUAUUUGUUAGAAAAUGAAGUCAAAAAGGCGCUAUACGAACUCGAUCAAGAGACCUUACCACUCAAUCUGACUCAUUCAUUUCAAAGGCCACCGUGCGGCGUCACUUAUUUCUGAAUUUGAUUCUAAUGAGGAAGAUUGCACGGUAUCUACGUGGUUAAAAAAAAUUACCAAUUAAGGGGACGUACACGGUUAGAAUGACAAAAUAAAAGCCUUUUAUCCGCAAGACAAACUCCGCGGCCAAACCCUUAUGAUGGCAAGUAAAGAAACCUAACCAACCGGUACCUCGAUGAUAAAAGUCCAGUCCAUGUGGUCGGAAACAACAAAAAAAAUUUUUGCACAACGCCGCGUCUCUACGAACUGCGAGGUAUUUCCUACUCGUUACCUGCUACUUUACUCCGGGGAAGUGAGGGCUACAUGAAGAUUGUCAACACUGGGGAUAAGAUCAAGUUUGAAGUCAGCGAAAUUAUGAUGCGAGCUGAAAAGUGUGACGAGUCAUUAGCCAAGCCAGGAUGGCCGACUGUUACAACGCAGCACAUGCCAAGCAAAGCCAGCCAUGCAGCCACGUGUUAAGCCAAGCCAAAGCCAAGCCAAAGCCAAAGCCAAAGCCAAAGCCAAAGCCAAAGCCAAAGCCAAAGCCAAAGCCACAGCCACAGCCACAGCCAAAGCCACAGCCACAGCCACAGCCACAGCCACAGCCACAGCCACAGCCACAGCCACAGCCACAGCCAAAGCUAAAGCUAAAGCCAUGCCACGGAGGUUGAAUGCCGCAACUUCCACUCGAGCCAGCCAGCAGUAUCAAUAUUGCCUAUGGUUCGCCGUUGAUUGUUCGUGACAUGACAUCCAAUUGUUAAAUGACGGGUAUAAAAACCCAAGGCAUUAAUUUCAAUGGACAUUCAAUUGUGUGCACUAGUAUAAGGCGAAACGCUGUCCGACUAAUAAAAUAUAAUCCCUGAA